GACAGAGGGUGCAAACGUUGUUCGGAUUUACUGGGCGUAAAGCGCGUGUAGGCGGCUUGGCAAGUCGGAUGUGAAAGCCCACGGCUCAACCGUGGAAGCGCAUCCGAAACGGCCUCGCUCGAGUCUCGGAGAGGAAGGUGGAAUACUUGGUGUAGAGGUGAAAUUCGUAGAUAUCAAGCAGAACACCUGCGGCGAAGGCGGCCUUCUGGACGAUGACUGACGCUGAGACGCGAAAGCGUGGGGAGCAAACAGG
rnacentral:rRNA from 1 species